UACGGGGGGGGCUAGCGUUGUUCGGAAUUACUGGGCGUAAAGGGCUCGUAGGCGGUCUGCUUAGUCAGACGUGAAAUCCCUCGGCUUAACCGGGGAACUGCGUCUGAUACUGGCAGACUCGAAUCCGGGAGAGGGAUGCAGAAUUCCAGGUGUAGCGGUGAAAUGCGUAGAUAUCUGGAGGAAUACCGGUGGCGAAGGCGGCAUCCUGGACCGGCAUUGACGCUGAUGAGCGAAAGCCAGGGGAGCAAAC
rnacentral:rRNA from 1 species